UACGGGGGGUGCGAACGUUGUUCGGAUUCAUUGGGCGUAAAGGGUGCGUAGGCGGCGGGGCCAGUCUGAUGUGAAAUCCCGGGGCUCAACCCCGGAACUGCAUUGGAUACUGCCUUGCUAGAGUACUGGAGAGGGAACUGGAAUUUACGGUGUAGCAGUGAAAUGCGUAGAGAUCGUAAGGAAGGCCGGUGGCGAAGGCGAGUUCCUGGACAGUUACUGACGCUGAGGCACGAAGGCCAGGGGAGCAAACGGG
rnacentral:rRNA from 1 species